GCGAACGCUGGCGGCAGGCUUAACACAUGCAAGUCGAACGGGUACCUUCGGGUGCUAGUGGCAGACGGGUGAGUAACACGUGGGAACGUACCUUUUGGUUCGGAAUAAUACAGGGAAACUUGUACUAAUACCGGAUACGCCCUUCGGGGGAAAGAUUUAUCGCCGAAAGAUCGGCCCGCGUCUGAUUAGCUAGUUGGUGAGGUAAUGGCUCACCAAGGCGACGAUCAGUAGCUG
rnacentral:rRNA from 2 species